AGUGGCGCACGGGUGAGUAACGCGUGGAUAAUCUACCCUUAAGAUGGGGAUAACGGCUGGAAACGGUCGCUAAUACCGAAUACGCUCCCGAUUUUAUCAUUGGGGGGAAAGAUGGCCUCUGCUUGCAAGCUAUCGCUUAAGGAUGAGUCCGCGUCCCAUUAGCUAGUUGGCGGGGUAACGGCCCACCAAGGCGACGAUGGGUAGCCGGUCUGAGAGGAUGACCGGCCACACUGGAGCUGGAACACGGUCCAGACUCCUACGGGAGGCAGCAGUGGGGAAUAUUGCGCAAUGGGCGAAAGCCUGACGCAGCGACGCCGCGUGAGGGAUGAAGGUUCUCGGAUCGUAAACCUCUGUCAGGGGGGAAGAAACCCCCUCGUGUGAAUAAUGCGAGGGCUUGACGGUACCCCCAAAGGAAGCACCGGCUAACUCCGUGCCAGCAGCCGCGGUAAUACGGAGGGUGCAAGCGUUAAUCGGAAUCACUGGGCGUAAAGCGCACGUAUGC
rnacentral:rRNA from 1 species